rnacentral:lncRNA from 1 species
CCCGCUGCGACUGGCGCGUGGCCGCCAGCCCCCGUCGCCUCGUUACUGCUGGAGCCGCGGGCGCGGAGCGGCCUGAGGGGCGCAAGGCAGAUCGCCCCGGGCCCCAGCCACAGCUCGCACAGCGCCCCCGGACACGGGCCACGCACCCCCGGACUGCCACCAGGACCUCACGCGCAGUGACGUGCCACACCAGGUUGCAUACACACACACCCCUCUUGCCAUCUUUCAAAAGCACCAUUUCUCAGCAAUCCUCCCUCCAGCCAAAGAGAGCUAGACACAACUUGUUCCGGAGCCUGUCAACUCCAGUCUGGGUGUCUGCCAGAGGGAAUCAAUUCAAAGUAAUGAAACCUGUUCCCAUCUUCUGGAGGCUAUAACCUCCAGCCCAGUUUAUUUUAUGCUCAUUUAGUAACUGCAGUUUUAAAACUAGUUCCAUUUUUACUGUCUCUCUCACAAUUCCUUUAAAGUUGUGGGGCCUCUCCAGAGUCAGCAGAAGAGAACAUUUUACUGCCAAGGCAGGAGCCUGGAUUCUCAGAAGUGUUUGUUCCUGGCAUGAUAAUCUAAGAUUUCCUUGAUCUUCAGGAGAAAAUGCAAACGAUUUUAUUUCUCAAAUACUCUGGUCCAGCUGAUUGAGCUGACUCUGAAUUUUAGAAAAGCCUUCAAAUCCUGCUUUUUUGGCUGCUGGACAGGUAGAAGGCAAGGUAGAUUUGCACCUUAUAGACUAAUCAAAGUAGAGAUAGAUAGACAGACAAACAGAUAUGCUUUGAUUUAUAUAUAGUACAAGAUUUUGUGAA